rnacentral:rRNA from 1 species
GAUAAACGCUGGCGGCGUGCCUGAGAUAUGCAAGUCGAGCGGGAUUUACAUGCAGCACACAGAAACACAAAUGUCUAAUCGUUCAAUUUCAACGCAUCGUUGAUAUGAGCGAUUGAUUCUUUGCUUUUUGCGUGCUGUGUGUGAGUUCAGCGGCGGACGGCUGAGUAACACGUAAGAAUCUUCCCCAGAGUCUCACAUAGCUCACCGAAAGGUGGGGUAAUUUGAGAUGGUCUGAACCGAUUUAUCGGUUUUGUAAAGCCGCAAGGCGCUUUGGGAUGAGCUUGCGUCCUAUCAGGUAGUUGGUGAGGUAAUGGCUCACCAAGCCUACGACGGGUAGCUGGCCUCAUGAGGGUGGUCAGCCAGAGGGGGACUGAGACACGGCCCCCACUCCUACGGGAGGCAGCAAUCAGGAAUAGUCGGCAAUGGACGAAAGUCUGACCGCGCGACGCCGCGUGUAGGAUGAAGCUUCACAAGAGUGUAAACUACUGUGGUAGGGGAAGAGAAAGGACGGUACCCUACUAGAAAGCAGCCGCUAACUGCGUGCCAGAAGCGUCGGUAAUACGUGGGCUGCGAGCGUUAUCCGGUGUCAUUGGGCGUAAAGAGUCGUGUAGGUGGAUUCAUAAGUCACUUUUUAAAUCUCUGGGCUUAACUCAGAAACUUGAGGUGAUACUGUGAGUCUUUGAGGUUCCUUUAGGGAGAACGGAAUUGUGGGAGGAGUAGUGAAAUGCGUUGAUACCCACGAGAACUCCAGUGGCGAAGGCGGUUCUCUGGAAGGAUCCUGACACUGAGACACGAAAGUUAGGGGAGCGAAGCAGAUUAGAGACCUGCGUAGUCCUAACUGUAAACGAAUGUAUGCUAGCUGCAUGAAGUCAGUACAUAGUUUUUGAUGUACUUUUUCUCUAGAAUAUAGUACCUAGGAAAAAGAGUCAUGAGAACUGCGUACUGAUUUCGUGUGGCGAAGGUAACCCGUUAAGCAUACCGCCUGGGGAGUACGGCCGCAAGGUUGAAACUCAAAGGAAUUGGCGGGGAGGCACACAACCAGAGGAACAUGUGGUUUAAUUCGACACAAAACGAAGAACCUUACCAAGGCUUGACAUGCUAGCGUUCUAUUUCCUGGAAACAGGAGAAAUCCGCAAGGAGGCUAGCACCGGUGAUGCAUGGCUGUCGUCAGUUCGUUCCGUGAGGAGUGCCCUUAAGUGGGACAACGAACGCAACCCCUGUCGUCUGUUACAAGUGUCAGAUGAUACUGCCCUACAGUUUUGUGGGGAGGAAGGCGGGGCAGACGUCAAGUCAGCACGUCCCUUAUGUCUUGGGCUACACACAUGUUACAAUGGACCACAACAAUGAGUAUUGCAAGCCAGCGAUGGCAAGCUAAUCUCACAAAUUGGUCCUCAGUGGGGAUUGGAGUCUGCAACUCGACUCCAUGAACUUGGAUUUGGUAGUAAUCGCGGGUCAGCUAUACCGCGGUGAAUACGUUCUUGCCUCUUGCACACACCGCCCGUCAAACCAACAAAGUCGGAGAUAUAUGAACUGCGGCGCAUGCCGUGGGAGUAUGUAGUCGGCGAUGAGGGUU